UACGUAGGGUGCAAGCGUUGUCCGGAAUUAUUGGGCGUAAAGAGCUCGUAGGCGGUCUGUUGCGUCGGCUGUGAAAACCCGAGGCUCAACCUCGGGCCUGCAGCCGAUACGGGCAGACUAGAGUUCGGCAGGGGAGACUGGAAUUCCUGGUGUAGCGGUGAAAUGCGCAGAUAUCAGGAGGAACACCGGUGGCGAAGGCGGUUCUCUGGGAAUGUCCUGACGCUGAGGAGCGAAAGUGUGGGGAGCGAACAGG
rnacentral:rRNA from 1 species